rnacentral:tRNA from 1 species
GGAGAGAUGACCGAGUGGCUUAAGGUGCACGCUUGGAAAGCGUGUGUACGGGUGACCGUACCGUGGGUUCGAAUCCCACUCUCUCCGCCA